CUCUGCGCGCGCCGGCGGCUGCCGUGGCGGGUGGGCGGCUGCCAUUCUCUUCUCGGCCAGUUCUCGAGCGCCUCCCCGGGCCCCGCCCUGCAGCCUCGGUCUCCCUGGCGCUGCGCGGCCUAGGGGACUGGGCUGCUGGCCUCCGGGUGCGGGGUGGGGGCAGGCUCUGACCUGGGGCGUCCUGGCCGCGUGAGCCGCGGGAUGGGGGCCCGGGCCCCGGAGGAGGCGCCGCUGUUGUGUUCCUUGGUGGAGAGGGCGCUGCCGGCCCUGCGCGGUUUCCAGCCAGGAAGCUUCGGGAAGCCUGGACGUCUGCUCACUGGAAACGACACGUGCGUGGGGUGUUGGCAUUCUUGUUAUUUAACACAGGAAGGAGGUGACUUCGCCUGUGAUGGACUUCCAGUGUGAGCACUGGCCAGAGUGACCAGGCCGACCAGCACCAGCCCUGAUCCAGACGCAGAGGCCAAGAUGUGGGCCCAGCCCUGUGCCAGAAGGCUGGCUGGAAUAAAGAGUAACAAACCCCCUUGGAGGGCCCUCCUGCCGGGAUGUCCACGUCCGCCUUUGCUCUGAGCUGGGGUCUCAUGUCUGUGGUGUUGGAAUCCAGAGCCCUGACCGGACAGCAGCAGCAGGAACUCGUUACGCUGCAGCAGGGCCCACACGGACUUGGCUUCCGCCAAGGACACACGGUUGUCCUUGUUGAAGUCAGCCAUGAGCAGGACCUGGCCAACCAGCGCCGGCAGGGAAGGCAGGUCUCCCAGGUUCGCCUGGUGUUUGGGACCAAAGAAAGGAAAAGCCCGUUGAUUUGAUGUCUGGGAGCACAAGCUGGCCUUGACCUGGUCCUCCUGGCGGGGUGGUCUGCCGGCCAGACCAGCACAUCUGCCAGGUUAGGGGUCCCAGCCCACAGCUACACGGGUGGAGGAGGCAGCCAGCAACGUGUCCACUCACUCUGCUGGCCUGUGUUGCUGCUGCCAGACAGACCUCCCACCUCCAGACAGACCUCCUGCCUCCUGGCAGCCUUGGGUGCACCUGGAGAGCUCGGGGGUGGGCACCUGGGCAGAGAAGCCUCAGAGCUUCCCUGAGGAUGAGAAUCGGCACAGGGCGGAGGGCAUGCACUGGCUGAAGCCCUGGGAAGCGGCCCCUCUCCACAAGCCCUGGUCUCCAUUCGGGGCACCUGCCCUGCUGGACCCACGGCCCUUCACUGCAGGAGCCUCCUCUCGACCUCAGCUGCCAGCCCACCGGAGCCCCCAACCCUUGCCCCCAGCCCUGGAGAGGCUCCUUCCCUGGCAGGGCUCAUGCCCAGGGGCUGGGGGAGAUGGGAGGUCUGCCCAGGGUCCACUUGGGCCCAUCUGUGCCUUUGCGCUGGGCAUGUUGGUGCCAGGGCCGCCCGCUGGGCACAUGACUGGUGUGGACUCCUGCCCUGCCCCCCAGGAGAGCUGCCUGACCUUGAGGAAGCUGAGGGUCAUCUCCCGGAAUUCCUUGAUGGAGGUGCCCCGGGUGGGCUUGUCAAACAGUACCAGCUCCCGCCGGGGGGCCACAUCCGACCGGGCCUUGGAGUCCAGGGUCUCCUCAAUGCCACACUUGAUGGUUACAUCCUUGUCCCGCCAGAGCCCGCUGUACACCUGGACAGGGCCAUAGAGGUCCUCCGUGCAGACGUCCCCCUCCCACUGCAUGGGCAGUAUCAGCCCCAGGCCCACCCGCCCUGCCAGUGGCUAUACCUGUUGGCCCGCGGCCACCGAAAGGCAGGUCCUCCACUCCACCAUAUGCAGCUCACACAGGUCCUGGCAGACGGAGCCCGAGAUGAUCCCCUUGCGGUACUGGUCACACUGAGGAGACAGGUGCAGGGCGUGCCGGGCGGGGCAGACACGCCCCUGCCCCACUGAGCCCCUCCCCACAGGCCCGAAGUCCUGCUGGCAGGGGCCUCCACUUGCUGUAGUUGAAAAGCUGCCAGCCCCUCACACAGGCAGUGCCGGGGCCCUGGGUCAUGCCACUGGUGGCUGCAGAAUGGGGCUGUUGGCUGCAGGGGCAGCCCCGCCAACCCUCCGGUCCAGUCCCGUCCCCACCAUCCUGGCUCCUGUAACAGGACGGCACAGCAAAGGCCACUGCCUGGACAUGAGACACACACCACACCCAGUAUCAACCCCGGGCCAGGGCCAGAGGCAGGGACCUGGAGGCAGCUCUCCCGCCCAGCCGACCCAGCUCACUGGACCAGCCAGGCAUUGGCCGGUGAACUAGAAUUCACCCUAGUCCCUAAUAUCUACACCACCAGCUGCCACACGCGCUCUCUCUGCCUGACUCUUCAUUCCUGCCUCGGGUGACGCCAGGAGGGAGGACGGCCCCCCUGACUCACGGCGCCCUCCCUGCCCGGAUCAGUAAGUGAGACAUCCCUG
rnacentral:antisense_RNA from 1 species